CACACACACACACACACAGACUGCUGAGUCCAUACACACACAGAGACACACAACCUGCUGAAUCCACACACACACACACACACACACAGACUGCUGAGUCCAUACUCACACACACAAGUUCCUCACUAGCAGACAAACACACACACACACACACACACACACACUGCUGAGUCCAUACACACACAAGCUUCCUCACUAGCAGAGACACACAC